GAGAAUGUAACGGCCUGGCAGUGCAUGUUAGCUGGCUGUUGUGUCUGAUGUGUCAACAGCUGCUAGCUGUGCUCCAUAUUGUUUCAUUCAAA
rnacentral:pre_miRNA from 1 species